AGAGAGAGACAUGCGCGCAUAUCAAUAAGCGGAGGAAAAGAAACUAACAAGGAUUCCCCUAGUAACGGCGAGUGAAGCGGGAAGAGCUCAAAUUUGAAAUCUUAAAGGGUUUCCCUUUACGAAUUGUAGUUUAAAGAAGUGUUUUCUGUUGAGGUUUUGGUAAAAGUUCUUUGGAAUAGGACAUCAUAGAGGGUGAGAAUCCCGUAUUUGACCAUUAUUUUCAGCUGUGUGAUACACUUUCAAAGAGUCGGAUUGUUUGGGAAUGCAGUCCAAAAUGGGUGGUAAAUUUCAUCUAAAGCUAAAUAUUGGCGAGGAGACCGAUAGGCGAACAAGUACCGUGAGGGAAAGAUGAAAAGAACUUUGAAAAGAGAGUUAAACAGUACGUGAAAUUGUCAAAAGGGAAGCGUUUGACACCAGUGUUGUUUUCUCGAAAAUCAAUUAAAAAAGGCAGGAUUUUGUGUUGUAUUGACUUUAUCAGCUUUCUGCACUCUUUUCUUGUCUUUUUUAAUGCACUUUUCGUUUAACAAGUCAACAUCAAUUUCUUUUGUUGUAAAAGGGUCAUUGGAAGGUGGCUUUCUUUUCGGAGAAAGUGUUUAUAGCCUUUGGCCUCUGCAAUCGGAGAGAUUGAGGUCUGCAGCGUAGAUCCUUCGGGGUUAGAUACAUUUGUGCUAAGUUAUAGCCUUUCAUAGACAACUUGUUGACUAUGAUCAGUCAUGUAGCUUACUCGCUUAUGCCUAUUUUACCUACGCUUAGGAUGUUGAUGUGAUACUGCGAGCA
rnacentral:rRNA from 1 species